GCUGUGGAACUCCUACGGGAGGCAGCAGUGGGGAAUUUUGGACAAUGGGGGCAACCCUGAUCCAGCAAUGCCGCGUGAGUGAAGAAGGCCUUCGGGUUGUAAAGCUCUUUUGUCAGGGAAGAAACGGUAGUAGCUAAUAUCUAUUACUAAUGACGGUACCUGAAGAAUAAGCACCGGCUAACUACGUGCCAGCAGCCGCGGUAAUACAGAGGGUGCAAGCGUUAAUCGGAAUUACUGGGCGUAAAGCGCACGUAGGCGGUUUUUUAAGUCAGAUGUGAAAGCCCCGGGCUCAACCUGGGAAUUGCGUUUGAAACUGGAAAACUAGAGUGUGUGAGAGGGGGGUAGAAUUCCAAGUGUAGCGGUGAAAUGCGUAGAGAUUUGGAGGAAUACCAGUGGCGAAGGCGGCCCCCUGGCACAACACUGACGCUCAUGCACGAAAGCGUGGGGAGCAAACAGGAUUAGAAACCCCAGUAGUCCUACCACGU
rnacentral:rRNA from 1 species